rnacentral:rRNA from 1 species
AGCAGUAGCCGCGGUAAUACGAAGGGGGCUAGCGUUGUUCGGAAUCACUGGGCGUAAAGCGCACGUAGGCGGACUUUUAAGUCAGGGGUGAAAUCCCAAGGCUCAACCUUGGAACUGCCUUUGAUACUGGAAGUCUUGAGUUCGGGAGAGGUGAGUGGAACUGCGAGUGUAGAGGUGAAAUUUGUAGAUAUUCGCAAGAACACCAGUGGCGAAGGCGGCUCACUGGCCCGAUACUGACGCUGAGGUGCGAAAGCGUGGGGAGCAAACAGGAUUAGAUACCCCGGUAGUCCCUGUCUCUUAUAC